rnacentral:rRNA from 2 species
AAAUUGAAGAGUUUGAUCAUGGCUCAGAUUGAACGCUGGCGGCAGGCCUAACACAUGCAAGUCGAGCGGUAGCACAGAGAGCUUGCUCUCGGGUGACGAGCGGCGGACGGGUGAGUAAUGUCUGGGAAACUGCCUGAUGGAGGGGGA